GAAAUGCGAUAAGUAAUGUGAAUUGCAGAAUUCAGUGAAUCAUCGAAUCUUUGAACGCACAUUGCGCCCCCUGGUAUUCCGGGGGGCAUGCCUGUCCGAGCGUCAUUACAACCCUCAAGCCUAGCUUGGUGUUGGGCACCGCCGCCUGGCGGGCCCUAAAGUCAGUGGCGGUGCCGUCUGGCUCCGAGCGUAGUAACUCUUCUCGCUCUGGAGGCCUGGGCGCGUGCCUGCCAUCAACCCCCAUUCUUUCAGGUUGACCUCGGAUCAGGUAGGGAUACCCGCUGAACUUAA
rnacentral:misc_RNA from 1 species